CAGUCGCCGCGGGAAUACAGAGGGUGCAAGCGUUAAUCGGAAUUACUGGGCGUAAAGCGCGCGUAGGUGGUUUGUUAAGUUGGAUGUGAAAUCCCCUGGCUCAACCUGGGAACUGCAUCCAAAACUGGCAAGCUAGAGUAUGGUAGAGGGUGGUGGAAUUUCCUGUGUAGCGGUGAAAUGCGUAGAUAUAGGAAGGAACACCAGUGGCGAAGGCGACCACCUGGACUGAUACUGACACUGAGGUGCGAAAGCGUGGGGAGCAAACAGGAUUAGAUACCCCAGUAGUCCCUGUCUCUUAUAA
rnacentral:rRNA from 1 species